AGGAAUAAUUCUAUAAUGUGUUAAAUCUCCUCAAAUCAUGAUACAGACAUCUUAUGAGUCAAUCACAGACAAUAAUCACUCUACAACGAGAUUUAAGAUUUCAUAGAUUGCAUAUUGAUUUGAUAUUGAGCGGAGGUAAGCUGGCCUGUAACACGUUUAGCUCAAACGCACACAAAGGGAUUAAUUAUAAUCCAGCACAUAACAAACACGCACGGUCACGAAUGUUCAUGCGAUAGGGUCUCCCACUAUAUAGACUUUACAACACAUGCAUCGCUAUAGCGAUCGGGUCGAAGUCCGGCUUGUCAGUACGGCCUACGGAACGGAAAUUGAUGGGAAACCGGAAAUUUGCAAAAAGGAAACAGCAACAGAAAUGCAUCGCAUAAUUCUGUAUCGGAUGCGUCCAAUUGCAGCCAAAAAUGGCGGGACAGAAGCGUGCAAGCACGUUGUUAAUAUAGCACCGACAUUAAUAUGAAGCGCUGUUGAUGUAAAACAGAUAUUAAUCACAUGGACGAAAGCUAUACAUAUGAGACCGAGUAAGUGGCACAUAUUCUACCAUGUAAUGCUACGCAACACAGACACUGAAGGUGGAGAUCUGUUUGCUGCAAAAUCCCGAUAGAUCUGGUCAGUUGUAACUGAUGCCAUAUAUCUUAGGUUAUUAGUGGCUAUUGUUGACUUAUAUCUUAUGUUGUUAGCUGUUGUUAUUGGCGUAUAUCUUUUGUUAUUAUUUGUUAUUUUUUUUACAUUUUUCAUAAGUUGUUUUACAAGCAUAUCUGUUAUAAAUACAUUUAUUUAUAACUUUACAAUCAUAACGUUUACAUUCAUAAUUGCGAUAUUUAUACGCCGAUUACAUUCAUAACUGUUAUUUAUCCCAUUUUCAGCGCGACAUUGACGGUAUAACACGUUGUGGAAUAUACUUGCUUGUAUUCAACACUGUGGAAUAUACCUGUCGCGUGCACGGACUACUUUUUAAAUGACGUCAUGCGAUAUGCGCUAAAAUUAGGUCGAUAUUGUUUGGUUCAUUGAGCGAAUUUUAAGGUCACCCAU